UUUUGAGAAAAAAACGUUCUCAUCCUCUCUCCCUAAUUAUUGUCUUCCUCCUCUCUCAAACCCGCGCCUCUCAAACUCUCAUCAUCUCUCAAUCUCGCUCACGGUACACUACUCCCAAUUCUCACUCUAAACACGAAAGCCAUGGUUUUAAAGAGAAUCAAGCAAGAAGGCUCACCUUCAGUGGUGAUUCGGCGACGAUGAAGAGUUCAUAUCUUCCUCUCUUCGCUAGGUUUUUUCACGCCGUCGCCUGAAGAUUAGGGUUUCUGUGGUUAGGAUUUUCGUUUGGACAAAUUUAGGGUUUUUUUCCGCCUCCAAGAUUUAAGGUUUUUUCUGCCUUUUCACCUCCGCUUCGCCCCUCUUUAUAUUCACUACCUUAGGGUUUCAAAUUGGUCUAUGGAGAUCAAAAGGGGUUUCUGCGAAAUCCCUUUAGGGUUGUCAGAUUUUGGUCUGCGUCUCGUAUGUUUGUUCUGGAAUGUGAAAAUUUAGUGGAAGCAUGAGUAAAUUCGAUUUGUAUUGUGAUGUGUUCUACCGCAGGUUUGUUGUAUUGCUGCAGAAUGGAUGGAGAAUGAUGGUGCAGGUUCUGCAGGAUAUUGACAGCAUGAUGCAUUACAUGAGUGUGGUGUGAGGUUACUGUCAUGGUUGUUUUAAUGGAGGGUUGAGGACGGGUUAGAAGAUGUUGAGAAGAUGAAUUGAAGGAGAGGUUGGAGAUGGUUAUCGGUUGUAGAUUCAGUUAGACUCGGCGAUUUUAUGAGUUAGCUUAGCAAUUGGAGGAAUUGUUUGUUAGACCGUUAUUGGAGCUCCGUUGAAUUUCGUGGUUCCAGAAGUUCAUUGAGCUGUUAUGAGUUUUUAUGGUCGAUAACUGUUAACUGAUUUCCCUUCUUUUCUUUAGGUUCUAAAAAAAUCAUGAGCCACAAGUGGAGCGCCCCUUCCAGGUUUCCGUUAUACACCUGCACUCUUAUGCCUCUUGUUUGCUGAAACUGAGCAUUAAAAGGCUCAGUUGUGAAGCUUGAGAAAUGUCUUGCAAUUAAGUUCAUAUUUUGUUAUUGUCUGCGGCGGUCAGCGAGAGAUUCCGAUGCAGUUUUUGUGGUUAGGUGGUUUAGGUACGACUCUGAUGGUGAUGGAUGUGUUUGGUGACUGAUAAUGCGAAAGGAAAAUGUAUUGGAUUUGUGGUAAUUUGGUAUGUAGUAUGAAAUUGUAAGGGAAUGUUCGAAAUUGUGCCUGAAAUUGGGCUUGAAAUUGUUCAGGUUUUGGAUACUGAUUGUGUAAUAGGAUUGUGUAUAGAUGGAAUUAGAAAUGAUUGUAAUUUUGAACAUAUUUGUUUCAGGAAUGAAUAGGAAGUUUGAAGGUUACUGGUUAGCUUGGGAUCUUCGGCUUGGAUGCGGCUACGAAGCGCAUUGGAUGGCGGGGCUGUUUUGGAAUUCUUAUGGAGAGCUAUGGCCUUGAUGAUGUUGAUUCGCUACUGUUAGAAAAAUCAUAUGUAAUGGAUUGGGAUAUAUCGAAUGUAUUGAAAUGGUUGGGUAGUGACUAUUGUAAUUUGGUUAGAUAAUAUGUAAUUGAAAGCGAGUGAAAAUUUGAAUGGUUUAUAUAAUAUGGUAUGGAAUCAAAUUACAGGAAAUUUGGGGAAAAUGAAAUUGAAUGGACAAAGAGCUCCAUGAAUUUGAAUGGUUUAUGUAAUAUGGGUGAAAUUGUUUGUAACUUUGGAAUUGAGUGGUUGUAUAUUGGUAUUGGUUUAGAAAUGAACAUGUAAUUAGGUUUUGGUUGUAAUUUGAACUUGAUUGAAGUGAUUGUAAAGAAUAAGAAAUGGUUGUAACUUGGUUUA